rnacentral:rRNA from 1 species
GCCAACAGCCAUGUCACCCUGCAGCCCAAGACCGGUUACUCACUGAAGCUAAGCAGGGCUGAGCCUGGUCAGUACCUGGAUGGGAGACCACUAGGGAACACUAGGAAGUGUUCUGU